UACGUAGGGGGCAAGCGUUGUCCGGAAUCAUUGGGCGUAAAGCGCGUGUAGGCGGCUCGAUAAGUCUGCUGUGAAAGUCCAGGGCUCAACCUGGAGACGCCACCUGAUACUGCUGUGGCUAGAGUCCGGUAGGGGAGCGUGGAAUUCCUGGUGUAGCGGUGAAAUGCGCAGAUAUCAGGAGGAACACCAGCGGCGAAGGCGGCGCUCUGGGCCGGAACUGACGCUGAGGAGCGAAAGCGUGGGUAGCAAACAGG
rnacentral:rRNA from 1 species